GGCCCCAUAGCUCAGUGGAUUAGAGCGUUCGCCUCCGGAGCGAAAGGUCGUGAGUUCGAGCCUCACUGGGGUCACCA
rnacentral:tRNA from 1 species